AUAAAUUACUACUGUAAGACAAAUAAGGUUAGUGGAAAUUACUUUCAUGUCUCAAUAUUGUUGUUGUAAUAAAGGAUAACUGUGAUACAGAAAUUGAAAUUGGAGUUGCAGUGAUUGAAAAUUUGUAUGACAGAUACUUGAGGAUGCUGGCAGUUUGAGUUCUUUAAUUUUGCUCUUGGACUUCUGGUAAUUGCCUUAACACACAUGGCAAGGUACUAUUAAGUGCAAUAAUAAGAAAAAUCUAUCAUCACCACUUUAAAAAAUACAUUCUGUAAUGUUGAAAGCUACAUCCUUUUUUAGGAAAUAGAAAAUAUUCUCUCUGAUUUUACUGCCUGUAUUACUGAUCACUUUUUAACCCGGCCUUAGCUCUACUUUCAGAUCCUGCAGGCUGGAGGAAUCCAUAGAUUCUUUAAGCAAGUAUGAAUUCCUGCUCCUGCCCAAGCUGCUGACGGUGUGACAUGAUUUCUGUCACCUGGAACAGUGUCCACUGUACAGUUAUGGAGUUUGUGAGCAAAGGUAUAUAUGACCCACCUAGGCCUUAUUGACACAGAAGGUUAAACUGCAAGCUGUGAGUAUUUCUUUCUACACAUCAGUGAGAUGAUUUUAAGAAUUUUAAAUUUUAACCCUAACCCAAACCCUAAUUUUAAAUGCAUUAAUAGUUGAAGCAAUAUUUAAUUUAUAAAAGAUGUCAUGGAUGCUAUUUUACCACAAACAGCUUAAUUAGUAGUAUGAAAUGAUUCUUUGUCAGAAAAAAAAAGCAGCUAUGAUUAGAGGACAAGUUUUUUUUUGUGUUUUUUUUUUUUUUUU
rnacentral:lncRNA from 1 species